AGACGUCUACAUUAGAUACCCGGGUAGUCCCAGCCGUAAACUAUGCGCGUUAGGUGUAUCGGUGACCACGAGUCACCGAGGUGCCGAAGGGAAACCAUGAAACGUACCGCCUGGGAAGUACGGUCGCAAGGCUGAAACUUAAAGGAAUUGGCGGGGAGCACCACAACAGGUGGAGCCUGCGGUUUAAUUGGACUCAACGCCGGACAUCUCACCGGAUAAGACAGCUGAAUGAUUGCCGGACUGAAGACUCUGCAUGACUAGCUG
rnacentral:rRNA from 1 species